AAAAAAGCUAAAAUUUUACGAGUCUGAGAAGAAGAUCAGAGAGUCCAAAGAAAGUAAGAAACGAAUAAAGAUGAGCAGCGAAUUAAAAACGGUAAGGAAGAAGAAAGAUAUAGACUCCAUCGUCAGAGACACCAUCGACAAAGUCCUCGUCCUCCGCUUUGGCCGCUCAUCCGACGUCGUUUGCCUUCAUCUCGACGAUUUGCUAUCAAAAUCAGCUCGUCAAGUAUCAAAAUUCGCAAGUAUAGCAUUAGUAGAUAUUGAUUCAGAGGAUGUUCAAGUUUACGUUGAUUACUUCGACAUUACAUUUACACCUUCCACCGUGUUUUUCUUUAAUGCCCACCAUAUGAAGAUGGAUUCUGGGACUGCUGAUCAUACGAAAUGGAUUGGUGGUUUCCAAAACAAGCAAGACUUCAUUGACGUUGUUGAGGCCAUAUUUAGAGGAGCCAUGAACGGCAAGCUUAUUGUAAAUUGCCCUUUGCCUCCAGAGCAAAUACCAAAGUAUCAGUUGCUAUACAAGGACUUGUGAAAGGCAGCUUCUUUAGGUCUAAUGGUUUUAUUUAUUUUAGAGAGCAUCCUUCGAUAAGAGGUUGCUACUACCAACUGCUCGAGCAUUGCAUAGAUCAUCGAUACAAUCUCCUCUUUCAAAAACCGCUUCAGCUCCCAUACCUGUACCUGUAGUUAUAUUCAACGGUUGAGAUGGUUAGUCAUACAAUGGUGCUAACCAAUUAUCUACAGAGUUUAUCCACGUAUGAGUGCAAUAUAGAAAGAGAGGAAAAGAGAAAGAGACCUAUGCACAUCGAGAUUAAUCCAAAGCGACAGUCCUUCCCUCUGCGCUUCAUCUCAUGCAAAAGAGUAGCAACACUACGGGCACCUGCGCACCAACAGCAGCUAGUUUUGAGCUAAUGGCUAAAUGAUAAGUUUAUCAAGGUCAAUGUUAUCAAGUUCAAGUCCAGCAGCUUUUACUGCCGCUGGGAUCGCAACGGCUGGACCAAUUCCCAUCAGAGCAGGAUCUACGCCGACAGCUGCAAAACUCCUACACCAAAAGCAAUGUCACUUCUGAACUUUUUUCCCUUAUGCUCUUCCCUCUAUAUGCAUACUCCUUUGCUUUCAGUAUCUUACUUUCUCAAUAACUUCCCUAGGAUGUUUCUGGUGGAGACUUUAAUACAGAUUUAAAGCAACUCCACCAUGGAAAUCGUCUACCAACACAAGUCCAGGCAAACAGUUUUCUUAAAAAGUUAUAUAGCAUUUGCAUACAAAUAAUAAAACUGCCACGAUUUUCUAACAGGACUUGCUUCUGGUUGGUUGUAUAAUUGCCAUCUGAGUUUUGACAUGAUAUCAGAUAAACCUUUGUAUGAUUUCUCUGCAUAAUUUGACACUGUUUAUGUGACGAUUUCUCAGUUUCUUUCAUCGCAGACCACUUCGGAAUAUUUAGUAAGCAUCCUAAGUCCUAACUAGUGAUGAAAAAGGAACAGGGUUCAAUAUUUAUCUGGAUCAUGGAGAGCCAUUUUGGAUAUUUCGACACAGGAAUCAUUCCUCCGCACGGAACAUAAUUACCUGAACACACCAAGAAUUCGAAGACCCUUCUGCACAGCUAUACUUCUUUUUGUAAGAAGAACUGCGCCAGCACCAUCACUCAGUUGGCUAGAGUUACCUAAGAUAACACAAUAGCGAGAUGUCAAUUGCAUAAUUCUAAGGAGCAAAAAUAUUGAGCGGCUGAAUGUUAUCCAUAGUCAUGCACUCCAACCCAGCCCCAAUGCCUAAUGUUGUUAAAGAUAUAAAAACAAUUAGCUCAAAGAUGAGGGUCGCUUGUCAGAAUAGACACGAAAACACUCUUACCGAUAUCAUAAAACCCUGCUUUGAUGGAACCAGCAACAUCAGCAACUGCCUGCAGACCAGACGAGCAUUGUCUGUUGACUGUUCUGAUGGGCACCGUUUCUGUUUGUAACAUACGAGUCAUAUACAAAUUGGGAAGCUAAGUACUUUUAGAAACAUAGUCCUAAAUUUUCUGAUCAGCCUAAGAUAAAGUAUCUUCAGUUUUUAACACAGAAAACCAGUACUAUAAGUUGUUAAGGUAACUCAUGCUAUAGACAGAGUGUAUGAGAUUGUAUCAAUCUUUUUUCAUAAUACUAACAAAACUAUAUUCAUUCA